GGCGGUAGAGCAGCGCAGGAUGGAGAAGCGAGGCCGCCUCGGAAAGCCGACCUCUAGCCAGAGUCCUCAGGCGUCACAGGCGACGCCUCGGAAAGAGAGGAGGCCGAGCAUGUUCGAGAAGGAGGCAGUGAGUGCGGAGACUGCCCGGGCCCGAAGCAGCCUCUUCGGCUCAGCCCCGGUGACGGCCUCGAACCAGAGGAUUUACCCUGGGGACCGAGCCCGAGGCCUGGCGCGAUCGGCAGCCCCGUAGGCGGGUGCUGGGAUUCGUUUCGGCCGAGGCCGUAGAACCCUCCGUUAGCUGAGUUUCUACCAGCACCUUCGGUUCUGCUCAGACUUGCUCACCUUGCGGGUUUUCUAAGAGUCCUGUUGUUCUUUACAGAAAUAGGAGAGAUUAGUGUAUUUAGCGGCGUCAUACAGACCAGAGGCAGUUUUAAUAGCCAAAAAGACUAUUUUUUAAAAAUCUGACAAAUCAAGCAGAACAUACAUUUUUACAGACAGUAACAGGCUCAUUAUUUGAAGAAUAUACAGGAGAAAAAAUUAAAUUGAAAAUAUUCUGCCUAUUGUCAUAUUUUCUGAAAUUGAUGGAAAGUGUUAUUCUUCAAUUUUAUUGGUGUUACAAAAAAACAAAAACCAAACCCAUUGUAGUCGAGUCCAUUCCAACUCAUAGCGAUCCAGUAGACUCUACUGGUGGUAUGUUGUUUUUAGUGGUACAGCACUGGUGUUUCUGUAUGAUCACAAUUUGAAAACCAGGUAAUGUAAUCAAGACCCCAUCUGUUCUUAGACUCUGGAAGAUAACGUAACUUGUCCAAGAAUGCCCAACUGUGUAAUGAUAAAACAGACUAGAACCUAUGUCCUGAGACUACUGGUCCACUUAGUUGUAGGGGUUUCUUUUCAUGAGUAUGUCCUGAGACAGUAAUCGGUAGAAUGGAGGCAGUGAUAACAAGCAGAACACCAAUUUUUGAAGGUCCUAAAACAUUUCAGCUUCACUCCCAACAUUUUUGUGGGAGUUAUUUUUGAUUAGCAUUACCUUUAUGUUGUUUCUGUUUGCUAUUGGUAGUUUUGGGAGAAUCAGAGCAUUCUGAGUGUAUUAAAAUCUGAUAAGGUUCGUUUUAUCCAAGUUGAUAAUGAACUUUUCAGUGCAUUUGCAUUGAAGUGAUUAAGGGAAAAUAAGUCUGAGGCAAGAAAGAGAAGGCAACUGGGAUCCAAGCAGGAUGAUCAGCUUACAUCAGGAGACUAGGAAACAUGGGAUCAUAAUGUGGACUGUAACAAAUAUCAUUUAUCAAGUGUCAGCAUCUUGGCUGAGAAACUUGUAUACAGGUAGUCCCCAACUUACAGCGGGGUUCUUUCUGACAGCUCUAUCAUAAGUCAGUUCUGACAUAAGUCGAACACUUCAUUUUUUUUAGUGUUAGUCAUUGCCUUUUAUUAUCUAUAUCUUUAUAAACCUGGCAGUGUUUGGACAGAUAAUCACAAAUUGAACAUCUGCGAGUGGACAUCUGAGAAUGAGAACAUCAGCAAAUUAUAUGCCAGAACACAUUACUAAUGAUAAGAUGUACACAGAAAAAAGACAAUCAUAAGUGCAAUUUGCUGUAACCCGAGUAAGUUAGGAACUACCAGUACAUUAUCUGAAUCUAAAGACAGCAUUUAGGUGUCUACAUUUUACAGAAGGAAGGAUGAACUAGAGGAAAAAAAAAAAACACAGGUCAAAUUCACACAACUAAGGAAAAGAGCAGAGCAAGGCUAGACACCUAAAUCUGUUGGAAUUCAAAUUUCAUGCUCCUGAAGACUAUACUGUAUUACCUGGUGAUAAGUGGGUAACAGACAGAUUGCCAGUAAUAAUGAAAAUUCUGUAUUUUCAGGCAGAUGAGCUCGCCUUUUAUAACCUUGGUUCAGUGGUAGAAUUCUUGCCUGUAAUACGGAAGACCUGGGUUCCAUUGCUGGCCAGUGCAUCUCAUGCGCAGCCACCACCUGUCUGUCAGCAGAGGCUUGCAUGUUGCCAUGAUGCUGAACAGGUUUCAGUGGAACUUCCAGAUGAAGAUGGACUAAGGAGGAAGGCCUGGUGACCUGUGUCCAAAAGUCAGCUCUUGCAAACCCUGUGGAUCACAGUAGUCCAGUCCACAAAUUAUCAUGGGGAUGGUGCAGUACCAGGCAGUGUCUCAUUCCAUUGUGCUUGGGGUUGCCAUGAGUCAGGGGCCAACUUGAUGGCAACUAACAAUAGCAAGAAAGCUUGAAGCAGUCUUGAAAAAUGUGCCCAAAGAAAGAGAUAUGUAAGUACACUUGGUAUGUUGACUGAAAUCUGGGAGUGAGUGGACAUGGACCAAGGCAGUUCUUGCUUAUUUGUUGUGAAUCGUGAUCAAUCAUAGCUAUUUUUAAACUCUAGUCUUCUAGAGCUGUGAAAUCUGAAAAGACCAAAAAAUUAGGAGGGAACAGAAAGGUAUCCAUAAACUCUCACUCAAUGAGGUAAAUUGACACGGUAGCUGCAACAAUGGGCUCAGACAGCAGUGAUUUUGAGGAUGGUGCAGGACUGGGCAGUGUUUUGUUCUGUUGUACAUAGGGUCACUAUGUGUCAGAAGCGACUUGACAACAAACUCUUACUAAACAUGUCUGGGUACACUAGGUGUACUAAUGAAUUAUUUCCAGCUCUCAGGUAGCUGAUAAUUUCCAUGUUCCUGAGUAUAGGAAGAAAUGAGACAAAGAAAUCACUGAUGGGUACGUGUUGAUUUUGUCUGUCCUGUACCUAUUUAUUUGUCUUCUAGCAAUAACAUCUCCAUUUACAUUUGGAGAACUAAUUUGUCCCUCAGGAUAGAGUUUUGGAAGGACGGCCAGUCAUUUUUGUUUGUGGUGAGAAUGAGACCCAAACCACGCUAAUGAAAUGAACUCUUCUGGAGUGUUAAAAAGAAAAUGGUUGAGGUUUGUUCAAAUUGAGGAUACGUGCUAAAGUGUACCAUGAGUUCCUGUCUUUCUGAACCUGGUGAUUUCAUUUUCUCUUCAAUUCUGGGAGCUACCCUGUAUCUUCCCAAUAAAGUAGAUUUUUUGCUUAAGUUAACAAGAAUCAAUGUUGAUUGCAACCAAAGAUCCCAAAACCUUAAGCAGAUUAUAAAAAAUCAAAACUUUGAAUAAUAUCACUUGUGAACAUACAUUGAAAAUCUUAAACACUAGCAAAUAGCACUUAGAAACAUGUGAAUAAAAAUAUCUCAUGACCAAGUUUAAUUUGUUGUAGGAAUAUCAGUUGGCUUAAUGUAAGGAAAUACCGUAUCAAUAGGUUAAGUAUUAAACUGGUUGUUUUAAUAGAUACCAAAAAAUUUAUCAUUUAAAACCUAUUCCUAAUUUUUAAAAACUAUUACAUAGAGUCUUCCUUAAUAAAGGAAAUACUAAAUCAGGAGGCCAGUAUUAUCUGUUAGGAAGAAAUGGUAUGGAUGUGAUUUUUCAGCAUAUUAGAAUCUCUUGGGAUUAAUUCCAAACCACAAAUGCAUAUCCCACCUGCCAAGAGAAUCAUUGCAGUUGGGAGCCACUGUUAAUGCUACAAGUAGUUGUAUCUCUCUAGUGUUCUGGGGGCAUAGGGGAGGAGAUGCAGUCAUUACCCUAGAGAAUCAUUGUGUUAAGAACAGAAUAUAUUUUGUCUGUAUGAGGUUUAGGCAACUAAUAGCAUCUCUCUUCCCCUGCCCAAGUUCAGAACCAAUUAAAAGAUAGCCAUAGAUGUCUGAAAGAUGAUCAAAACAGACUCACUUCUUGCAGCCAAGAUGGAGUAACUCCUAUGGGAGACUACUACACUUACACACAUACACCAUACAUGACACCAUUGUUUUUAUUGGCUGGAUGCCACACACCACAAAAUAGGGAUCCCAUAGAGAGGAGAAACAGGCAGCGUUAGCCCUAAGAUUGCCUCAUCUUAGCCCUUGUGACGGUCUCCAGGCCACAACACAGGGAGAAGUCUGCCUUUGUGGAGAAGGGGCUAGGAAUCUGGGAGGUUGAGGUGGCAUGAAUCUGCAGGACAGUACUGGAGAGGAGAGAGCUAUAGCAACAGCUCCAGAGAUCAAAAGUUCUCCCUGAAGUCUUCAGUAUUUCUUAGUGCAUCUGCUGAGAAAACCAUUGGAGGUCAGGGAAAGAACCACCCAGAGGGAGCAGAAAAAAUUCUUAGACUCACACAAAAUAGUUUGUGUUCCUAACAAUAAAAGAGGAAAACCAUGUAAGUCGUAGGGCAUUGGUUAGAUUCCUAUCAAAUGCGUUAGCUCCGUAAUGGGGACUUAAAGGCUACUCCGAUCUCGCCUAUCAAAGCUGAAAAAACAAGCCUCUGAAGGAUUAAACCGGUUCCCGGUAACCACAUCACAAUAGAAAUCUCAAGAAUUACCAAGGUAAAAUUUCAGUGUCUGGUGUCCAAUUAAUUACACAUGAUCAGAUCGACAAAGAAGCAGGAAAAUGCAACCCGAAAAGAGAAGAAAUUAUAAAAACAGGCCCAGAAAUGACACAAAAUUAAAACAAAAGAACAUUAAAGUAGUUAUAAAGCAGUUACACUGCUUUUCAUGAAAUUAGUUAUGUUACUUCUAAAGCACUUAUUGUCGUUAGGUGCCAUUGACUCGGUUCUGACUCAGUGACCAUGUGCACGACAGAACAAAACACUGCCCCGUCCUGCACCAUCCUUACAAUUGUUAUGCUUGAGCUUGUUGUAGCCACUGCGUCAAUGCACUUCGUUGAGGUCUUCCUCUUCCGCCGACUUGGUACUCUGCCAAGCAUGAUGUCCUCCAGGGACUGAUCCCUCUUGACAAGACACAUCCAAAGUAUGUAAGACACAGUCUUGCCAUCCUUGCUUCUAAGGAGCAUUCUGGUUGCACUUCUUACAAGACAGAUUUGUUCAUUCUUUUGGCAGUCCGUGAUACAUUCAAUAUUCUUCAUCAACACCAAAAUUCAAAGGCAUCAAUUCUUUGGUUUUCCUUAUUAAUUUGUCCAGCUUUCACAUGCAUAUGAUGCAAAUGAAGGUCCCGAAAGCUUGACUACAUCAUUAAGGUCGACCCUACUUUGAGGAGGCAGCUCUUGCCCAGUCAUCUUUUGAGUGCCUUCCAACCUGGGGGGGCUCAUCUUCCAGCACUGUAUCAGACAAUGUUCCUCUGCUAUUCAUAAGGUUUUCACUGGCUAAUGCUUUUCAGAAGUAGACUGCUGGGUCCUUCUUCCUGGUCUGUCUUAGUCUGGAAGCUCAGCUGAAAUCUGUCCUCCAUGGGUGACCCUGCUGGUAUCUGAAUACCAAUGUCAUAGCCUCCAGCAUCACAGCAACACGCAAGCCCCCGCAGUACGACAAACUGACAGACGUGGGGGAUUAUAAUAAUUACAUUCCAUAUAUUCAAGAAUAUAGAUGAAAGAUUGAGCAUGUUAAGGUCCAAACCAAACUUUGGCACAUGAAAAAUACAGUCAUAGAUGAAAAAUACACUGCAUUGGAUUAACAGCAUCGUAGAUAGUGCAGAAGAAAGGGAAUUUAGAGACGUACAAUAGAAAAAAACACCUGAAAAAUAUCAGGAGACAUCAGUAAGCAGUGGGACGACUUUAAGUUGCUAGCUGAAAUCCUCAAAUGAGGAGAGAGGGCAGACGAAAAAUAUUUGAGGAAAUGAUGAAAACUAUAAACUCACAAAUUCAAGAAUCUCAAGGACCCCCAGGCACAAGAAACAUGAAAAGUAUACCAAGACAUCAUCCGAGUGCUUAAAGCCAAUAAAGCAAAAAACUCAAAUGUAGAGAAAAAAGGACACGUACAAAUGAACAAAGAUAAGAAUAAUGGAGACUUCUCAUCAGAAACGAUAUAAGCCAGAAAACAGGCAUCAUCUUUUAAAAUACUGAAAGAAACCUAGAAUUCUGUAACCAUAGCUAUAACCCGUUGCCAUCGAGUUGAUUCUGACUCAGCGGUCCUACAGGACAGAGUGGAACUGCCCCAUGGAGUUUCUAAGGAGCACCUGGUGGAUUCAAACUGCCGACAUUUCAUUUAGUAGCCAUAGCACUUAACCAUUACGCCACCAGGGUUUCCAGAAUUCUAUACUCAGUGAAAAUAUCUUUCAAAAUAAUAAUACUUUUGAAAAGUGUUUUUGAAAAUAAUAUCUUUGGAACUAUCUUUCGAAAACAAAGACUUGUUCAUAUGUAAGAAAGCUAAAAGAAUCCAUCAUCACCAGAGCCACCCUACAAGAAAUGUUAAAACAAGUCCUUCAAGCAAAAGUAAAAGAACAUCUUAAUCUGUAUCAACACAACGGAAUAGAAAGCCCUGAGAGUGGUAAAUAUAUGGAUGAAUAGAAAAUACAUUUUUAUUUUUAAGCCUCUUUAAAGACAAUUGUUUAAAGCCAAAAUAGUAAUGUGGUGUGUAUAUCAUUUAUAAAGAAUAUAUGGCAAUACUAGCACAAAGGCCAGAAGGGAGAAGAGGAAGUUUAGCAUUGUAAGGCUCUUAUGCUUUAUGUGAUUGCUGUUCUUAUUAGUUGCCAUUGAGUCGGUUCCAACUCAUGGUGACCCCAUGCGUGCAAAGCAGAACUGCUUCAUAGUGUUUUCAAGACUGUGACCUUUCAAAAGCAGAUCUCCAGGCCUCUAUCCCGAGGUGCCCCUGGGUGAGUUCAAACUCCACUCUUGCAGUUAGUGGUCACGUGCUUAAAUGAUACAAUAUUUGAAAGUGUUGUUGUUACUAGGUGCUGUUGAGUCCAUUGUGACUCAGCGACCCUGUGUACAACAGAACGAAACACUGUCCUGUCCUGCGCCGUCCUUACAAUUGUUAUGCUUGCGUCCAUUGAUACAGCCACUGUGUCAGUCCAUCUCAUUGAGGAUCUCCUCUUUUUCACUGACCCCCUACUUUGCCAGGCAUGUUCUUUUCUAGGGACUGGUCCCUCCUGGUAAUAUGUCCAAAGUACGCGAGACAAAGUCUCGUCAUCCUUACUUCUACGGAGCAUUCUGGCUCUACUUCUUCCAAGAUAGAUUCGUUUGUUCUUCUGGGAAUCCAUGGUAUAUUCAAUAUUCUUCACCAACACCAUAAUUCAAAGGCAUCAAUUCUUCUUCAGUCUUCCUUAUUCAGUGUCCACCUUUCACAUGCAUAUGAGGCGAUUGAAAACGCCAUGGCUUUGGUCAGGUGCAUCUUAGUCCUUAAAGUGAUACCUUCACUUUUAACACUUUAAAGAAGCCUUUUGCAGCAGAUUUGCCCAGUGCAAUAUGUCAUUUGUUUUCUUAACUGCUGCUUCCGUGGAUGAUUGCGGAUCCAGGUAAAAUGAAAUCCUUGACAACUUCAGUCUUUUCUCCGUUUUUCAUGAUGUUGGUCAUUGGUCCAGUUGCGAGGAUUUUUGUUUACUUCAUGUUGGGCUGCAAUCCAUACUGAAGGCUGUGGUCUUUGAUCUUCAUUGGUAAGUGCUUCAAGUCCUCUUCAUUUUCAUCAAGCAAGGUUGUAUCAUCUGCAUAUCACGGGUGGUUAAUGAGUCUUCUUCCAAUCCUGAUGCUCCAUUCUUCAUAUAGUCCGGCUUCUUGGAUUAUUUGCUCAGUAUAGAGAUCGAGUAAGUAUGGUGACAUCAUAUAUACCUUUCUCGACUUUAAACCACGCAGCAUCCCCUGGUUGUGCCCUAGUGACUGCCUCUUGGUCUAUGUACAGGUUCCUCAUGAGCACAAUUAAAUGUCUGGAAUUCCCAUUCUUCUCAAUGUUAUCCAUAAUUUGUUAUGAUCCACAAAGUCUAAUGCAUUUGCAUCACCAAUAAAACACAAGUAAGCAUCUUUAUGGUAUUCUCUGCUUUCAGCUAAGAUCCAUCUGACAUCAGCAACGAUAUCUCUUUUUUCAGGUCCUGUUCUGAAUCUGGCUUCAAUUUCUGUUAUUUCCCUUUCGAUGUACUGUUCCAACUGUUUUUGAAUUAUCUUUAGCAAAAUUUUAUUUGGGUGUCAUAUUAAUGAUAUUGUUUGAUACUUUGGAAUGGCUACAAAUAUGGAUCUCUUAUAGUCGUUUUGCCAGGUAGCUGUCUUCCAAAUUUCUUGGCAUAGAUGAGUGAGCACCGCCAGUGCUGCAUCUGUUUGUUGGUGUAUCUCAAUUUGUAUUCCGUCAGUUCCUGGAGCCUUGUUUUUCGCCAGUGCCUUCAGUGCUGCUUGGGACUUCUUCCUUCAGUACCAUUCGUUUCUGAUCGUAUGUUUCCUCCUCAAAUGGUUGAAUGUCAACCAAUUCUUUUUGGUACAGUGACUGUGUAUUCCUUCCAUCUUCUUUUGAUGUUUCCUGUGUUAUUCAAUUUUUUGCUCAUAGAGUCCUUCAAUAUUGCUAUUCAAGGCUUGAAUUAUUUCUACAGCUCUUUCAGCUUGAGAAAUGCUGAGCAUGUUCUUCCUUUUUGGUUUUCUAAUUCCAGGUCCUUGCACAUUUUACUAUAAUACUUUGUCUUCUCAAGCUGCCCUUUGAAAUCUUCUGUUCAGCUCUUUUAUUUCAUCGUUUCUUCCUUUUACUUUAGCUACUCUACGUUCAAGAGCAACUUUCAGAGUUUCUUCUGACAUCCAUUUUGGUCUUUUCUUUCUUUCCUGUCUUUUUAAUGACCUUUUUAUUUCUUCAGUUAUGAUGUCCUUGAUGUCAUUCCAUAACUCCUCUGUUCUUCAGUCAUUAGAGUUCAGUGCAUCAAAUCUGUUCCUGAGAUUGUCUCUAAAUUCAGGCGAGAUAUACUCAAGGUCGUACUUUGGCUCUUGUGAAGUCGUUCAAAUUUUCUUCAUCUUCACCUUGAACUUGCAUAUUAGCAAUCGAUGGCCUGUUCUGCAGUCGGCCCUUGGCCUUGUUCUGACUCAUGAUAUUGAGCUUUGCCAUUGUCUGUUUGCACAGAUGUAGUUUAUUUGAUUCCUGUGUAUUCCAUCUGGUGAGGUCCACAUGUGUAGUUGCUGUUUAUUUUGUUGAAAAAAAAGAUAUUUGCAAGGAAGAAGUCCUUGAUCUUACAAAAUUCUAUCAUGCAAUCUCCAAUGUUGUUUCUAUCACCAAGGCCUUAUUUUCACACUACCGAUCCUUCUUCAUUUCCAACUUUUGCAUUGCAGUCAGCAAUGAUUAUCAAUGAGUCUUUAUGUUUGAUCAAUUUCAGACUGCAGAAGUUGGUAAAAAAUCUUCAAUUUCUUCAUCUUUGGCCUUAGUGGUUGGUGUGCAAAUUUGAAUAAUGGUCAUAUUAACUGGUCUUCCUGGUAGGCCUAUGAAUAUUAUCCUAUCACUGACAGUGUUGUACUUCAGGACAGAUCUUGAAAUGUUCUUUUUGAUGAUGAAGGUGACACAAUUCCUCUUCAAUUUGUCAUUCCUGGCAUAGACCAUAAGAUCGUCUGAUUCAAAGUGGCCAGUAUCAGCUUAUUAAUGCCUAGGAUACUGAUCUUUAUGCAUUCCAUUUCAUUUUUGGUGACUUCCAGUUUUUCUAGAUUGAUACUUUGUACCUUUCCAAGAUCCAAUUAUUAAUGGAUGUUUGCAGCUGUUUCUUCUCGUUUAGAGUCGUGCCACAUCAGCAAAUGACGGUUCCAAAAGCUGGACUCCAUCCACAUCAUUAAGGUCGACUCUACUUUGAGGGGGCGGCUCUUCCUGAGUCGUAUUUUGAGUGCAUUCCAACCUGAGGGGCUCACCUUUCAGCACUAUAUCGGACAGUCUUCAGCUGCUAUUUGUAAGGUUUUCACUGGCUAAUAUUUUCAGUAGUUGGCAGCCAAGUUCCUUCUUCCUAGCCUGUCUUAGUUUGGAAAAUCUGCUGAAACCUGUCCACCCUGGGUGACCCUGCUGGUAUUUGAAAUACUGGUGGCAGAGCUUCCAGUAUCACAGCAACAUGCAAGCCACCACAGUACGACAAACUGACAGGCCUGUGGUGGUAUCUGAAGGUAGACUGUGAAAAAUUAAAGAUAUGUUCAGUGAGCCCUAAAACCACCUUCGGGAAAGAAUAAAGCUAAUAGGCCAACAAAGGACAUGGAAUCAUUUUUUUAAAAAAGGGGAGGGGGGAUCCAAAAGAAAAAAAGAAAGGGCAAACAACAGAUGAGACAAACAGGAAACAACUUACAAUAUGAGAAAAAAAGUUAGUUAAAUACAAUCGUAUCAGUAAUCAUGGAACACUGGUGGCAUAGUGGUUAAGAGCUACAGGUGCUAACCAAAAGAUUGAGAGUUCGAAUCCACCAGCUGCCCCUUGGCAACCCUGUGGGGCAGUUCUACUCUGUCCUAUAGGAUCACUAUGAGUCAGAGUCAGCUUGCUGGCAAUGAGUUUUAAUUCAUGAAUUGUGGUGUUGGUGAAAAAUAUUGAAUAUACCAUGGACUGACAAAAGAAUGAACAAACCUGUCUUGGAAGAAGUACAACCAGAAUGCUCCUUAGAGGCAAGGAUGGCAAGACUAUGUCUUAUAUACUUAGGACAUGUUGUCAGGAGGGAUCAGUCCCUAGAGAAGGACAUCAUGCUUGGCAAAGUACAGGGUCAGCAGAGAAAGGAAGACCCUCAAAGAGGUGGAUUGACACAAUGGCUGCAACAGUGGGCUCAAGCAUAACAACAAUUGUGGGCAUGGCACAGGACCAGGCAGUGUUUCACUCUGUUGUGCGUAGGGUCGCUAUGAGUCAGAACCAACUUGACGGCACCUAACAACAACGACAUCACUGGUAAUGUUAACCUUGAUCACUUGACUAAACAGCUCUACUGUCAAGUAACUCUUUUUUUCUAGUCUGUUCUUUUAGAGGAAACCCUGGUGGCAUAGUGGUUAAGUGCUACGACUGCUAACCAAAGGGUCAGCAGUUCAGAUUCACCAGGCGCUCCUUGGAAACUCUAUGGUGCAGUUCUACUCUCUCCUAUGGGGUCGCUAUGAGUUGGAAUUGACUCGAUGGCACUGGGUUUGGUUUGGUUCUUUUAGAGGAGGUCUGGUGGUGCAGUGGUUAAGAGCUCAGCUGCCAAAAGAUCAGCAGUUCAGAUCCACCAGCCACACCUUGGAAAUCCUAAGGGGAUCCGUCCAUACUCAAGGGAAGGGGAAUUAAGCUCCACUUCUUAGAGGACAGAGUAUUAAAGAAUUUGUGGACAUGUUAAAACCUCCAAUGUAAUUAAUAAUUUGAGAGAAACACUUUGAUGCUAUGCAGACAACCUAUUUCACCCACUGAUUUUAGCAUCUAUCUGUGGCUCAUCUUGUACUUUCCCUGCCGAAGUCCUACAUCAGCCAUGUGUUCAAGGAGCCCUAGUUCGUUUUACUGGAGAAGGGAAUUAGAAACCAAGAUCCAGGUGCUAAAUGUGCUAGCUGCUACUGGAGUGUUGUUCCUUCUAGGCCCCCUCGGUGGAUGAUCUAGGAAAUAUACGUGUAUACUAAUCCAUGUACACACAUAUCUCUACUUGCUCUGUACCUGUUUGUCUGUAUGAUUCUUAACGUGAAUUCAUACUGAUGUCUCCCACUCUAACCUGGCAUCACAGGGUUCUUACCUUUCCUGCGUGCUCAUCUGUAACCUCAUUCUCUGAUAGUGAGAAAUGUGGUGCUCACUGUCUAAAAAUUAACAUUUAAAUGUCGACGUUAGUAGACCUGUGAAAUAGUUUUAGGAUAGUUAACUAGUACUACAGUUUGGUGUUCAGUCCUUGUUCUCUUUAACUCUGUAGUAUCUAGUCAGUAUAUGGUUUUCCAGACCAACUGAGGUCACUUCCUUUUUCCUCGCCCCUUUCAGUGAGGUGAUGAGAUUAAUUUUUUUAAAACAAAAACAGUAUCAUGUCAUUUCCCUGAACAAAGCCCUUCAAUGACUUCCUGUGAUUCUUGAAAUCUAAAACCCUUCCCUUGACCUGAAAUUCCUUAUGCUCUGUCCUCUAGUUGGUUCUCUGGCCUCUCUUCCUCCCCUCCUUCCCUUCCACUCUAGCCAUAUGGGCUUCCUGGAUCUUCCUGGAAUGUACACACUCAUGGCCUGCCUCCCCCUGGGCCUCAGCACUUGUCAGCUCACUGUGCCUAAAUGUACUCUUCACUUAGGUAUUCAGGUGCCUCAUCCCCUCACAUCUCUCACGCGUGUCCUCUAGUUCACCUUCUCAGAGAACGUCCUUGACCGGCUUGUCUGAAAUGGCAUCCUCAGCCCUCUUCUCCGUAUCCUGCUUCCAUUUUCUUUAGGGGACUAUGGUGAAAUGAGUUGCUUUAUGUGGCCUUUGGCCUUGGUUCUUUGGAGAAACAGCUUGAGAGAUUUUUCUUCUAAGCCCUGAGAAGUUACCUUUACCCUAGUUUUCUACCACAGAGGAUGUGUUACUUUUGUCCAGGUUGGUUGACAUUUCCUGGGUAAGCUGUAAACAAGGAUAGUUUGAUACUUUGUGCUUAGUCCUGGGCUGAGCCUGCCCUGCGAUUGGUCUGUUUUAUGCACCUUGCAGGGAUUGGUCAAUAUACUUACGCUAAUGAAGUGUCUGUGGUGUGCUGAGAGGAGAUUAGUUAGUUCAUGGCCCUGGUGGAAGGCCAUGCCUUAAAAUUGACUAGCAGUCUGCUUAUAUAUGCAGCCACCCCCACAGAGGUUGGCAGACAGAGAAGAAUGAAAGGCGCAGAAAGGAGAAAAGGCAAGAGAGGCAAGAAGAGAGAAGUACCAGAGAGAGAGGAGAUGAGGAAGCUCCUAAAAGAGCUGUAACACGGGUCAAGGACUGUGACGCUGAAGACAGUGAUAGGCCCAGAAGGGGCCCAGCGGCAGGGCCAGUGGUGAUGGCAGAAACCCUCUGAUAGCAGUGCAUCUAGGAGAGUGGAACAAAGCUGCUAUCCUGGCUAUGAGCUGGGUCAGUUAGCAGUGGAAAGGCUGAUGGCAGGAGGCUGAAGGCAGGGAGGCCUGUCCUGAGGGGGCCAAGAGAAAGCCUGUCCUCAGGGGACUGAGAAGCAGCCUGUCUUCAGGAAGCUGAGAGGAGGCCUGCAUGGUUGAGGGAAGGGCCUACUUGCAUUCUCAGCCAAGAGGAGCUGAGAGAGCUGUCAUGCACUGAAGAAGGGGGCAGGGGGGAUGUGCUCUCCACUUUGGGGGAGCCUUCCAAAUUUUGCCUCCAUGCUUCUUGAUCCGCAUUCUGAGUUGUAACCUGUUGAUCCUGAUCCCAAGUUGUACCCUGUUACGUCCUUAAUAAACCACUUGAAUGUAAGUAUGGUCUGUGAGCUCUUUGUGGCCAUUGCAACAGAUUAUUGAGCCCAGCAGAGGAGAGAGUGUGGAAGGGAUGGCUGAUUUCAUAAUGGGUGAAAAGGUUGGAGAGUGGAAGUGUGUCUGGCCUACACGUCACAGGAUUGACUUGUGCUGAUGGUGAAGCUCACUAUCCCCAUGAAGGUAGGCAAGGUCUGACAUUACUGUUGCCAUUUUACAGGUACGCAUCACUGGCUCAUAUCAUGUUACAUUUCUGUUUGUUUAUUGUUUUUCUCCUCUGUAGGUUAUAAGGUUCAUGAGGCCAGGGGUUUUUAUCUGUCUUCUUCAUGGCCAUAUCUGUAGUAUCUGGAACUGUGCCUGGCACACAGAAUGAAUGAAUGAUUCUGUACCUUUAUUCAUUCUUUAAUUUAUUUCACACUGAGUCCUCCAUGUGCCAAACAUUGAGCUCAAUAUGCAGAAUAUGAACGUAAGUCCUCCCCCCUCCAGCUGCACAGUGUGUGAUUAUUUCCUGCUUUCUGUAGUUUUUAUGUGCCUACGUCAUGUCCCAACUAAGAGCUCUGUCUCUCACUAGCUGUGUGAGCCAAGCUAUCUGCCUCAGUUUUCUUGUUGAUUGGGGACGGUAGAACAGGGUGGUUUGAUGAUUAAAUCAAAUAACACACAUAAAGCUUGUAGAAGAUGAGAGCCUGGCACACAUUACGCCCUCAGCAGAUGUUAGCUAUCAUUUUACAUUUUAGAUGUUCAGUAAAUACUUGUUGAAUAAGGAACAUUCCCACUCAGAACCUACUUCUUGCAUAACGAAAUACUUUUGUAUACCCACCACAGAACCUAGAGCUGUGUUUUAAUAAAUGCUGUAAAUAACUGAAAACAGCUUAUCUUGCCCAGAUUUAGCUUACUGAAGGCCAGUCAUGCCCUCAAGCAUAGCAACCACGUGGUCAUAGUCUGUCAACGGAUUUCCAGCUCUGUGUCAGCCCUAUCCCGCUGCACCAGAGUACUUUAACCUGACAUUUCUUUCUCAGUACACACAGAUCCUGCGGGAAAGACUGAGAGAAUCGAUCCAUGACGUUCAGUAUGUGGAGCCUCCGUUUGAUGACUCAAUUGCUGAUAUAGGUAAAGAGUGGAAGAGUGCCCUGGCAAAAUUAAAGUUUGCUAAUUCGUAUAGAAUGGAACCACUGAAGAAAUUCCAAGCUCAUACGGUAGAAAUUAAAGUCCAGCAGAUAUUAACGGUUUCCAGCAGAGGGAUCUGGGAUGUUGCAUGGGACAGCUGGGUUGCAGCUAAACAUGAAACAGAAAGUUAUGUUGCACUGGC